CCUUACCUGGUCUUGACAUAGUAAGAACUUUCCAGAGAUGGAUUGGUGCCUUCGGGAACUUACAUACAGGUGCUGCAUGGCUGUCGUCAGCGUCGUGUCGUGAGAUGUUGGGUUAAGUCCCGCAACGAGCGCAACCCUUUUCCUUAUUUGCCAGCGGGUUAAGCCGGGAACUUUAAGGAUACUGCCAGUGACAAACUGGAGGAAGGCGGGGACGACGUCAAGUCAUCAUGGCCCUUACGACCAGGGCUACACACGUGCUACAAUGGUCGGUACAAAGGGUUGCUACCUAGCGAUAGGAUGCUAAUCUCAAAAAAGCCGAUCGUAGUCCGGAUUGGAGUCUGCAACUCGACUCCAUGAAGUCGGAAUCGCUAGUAAUCGCGGAUCAGAAUGCCGCGGUGAAUACGUUCCCGGGCCUUGUACACACCGCCCGUCACACCAUGGGAAUUUGUUGCACCAGAAGUAGGUAGUCUAACCGCAAGGAGGACGCUUACCACGGUGUGGCCGAUGACUGGGGUGAAGUCGUAACAAGGUAAGCGUAGAUGA
rnacentral:rRNA from 1 species